GUCCUACUAGCUCAAUUGGUAGAGCAUUGUGUAAAUGCAAAAAGAUGUGGGUUCGAAUCCCACGUAGGUUU
rnacentral:tRNA from 1 species